CCAGAGAAAGAACGUCCCUGUGCGGGACCCUAAGCCUCAUGGUGGCACAGCCGGUGGGCUGGCUCCCGCUCCUGAGCUCCUGAGCCAUAGACCUGUCCCCUGCGGGCUUCAGCUCUGCUUCCGGGCAGCCGGCUCAGCCCAUUCUUUUCUGUUCUUAGCUCCAGUAGACCGUACCCGGGAGGCAACAGCAAAGCUUGGGAGUGGGACCCGGUGAAGGUCACCUCUGGGCCUGAAUGUGAUGCUCUAGCUACAGGACGGUGAUGGCACCGUGGACGAGGACCCCAACGACGACCGUCUCUGCGCGUCCUGCGUCAACAUUUGUGCCUCCGACUCCCGGGGGGCAACCUUUCCCGCGGCAGGAAAACCGAAAUCGGUGGCAGUCUAUGCGAAGUAGAAACGCACAGAGAUGGCCAUUUCCCGUCUGCUGGCCAGGGGAGUUGACCCUGCAGCCUUCCCACUGCAUGAACUGGAGAUGACCCAAGCUCAGCUCUCUCCCACUGCUGGGGCAUCAGGAGGGAACCCUGCAGCCCUCCCUCCUUUCAUCUGCCUGGGGCCCUUUGACCCGC